AAAAACAGACGAAAUGCACCACAGCUUUCUUACAGUUCUGUAACGCUGACUCCGGGAUCCUCCUGUACAUGGACGUAGCUGUCAGAGGACUGGCAUCCCUGAGGUGGACUGGAUUAUUCAAUAUGACCCCCCCCUACCAGAUGAUCCCAAGUUGACUCCACUAGCUCUGAGAAGGUGACAUUGUGCAUUGGAGUUCUUUAUGGAUCUGGUCUUGGGUUGUGGAAUUUACCCCCUUCUCGCUGCUCAUCCAUCGGGUUGGCAGGACGGCGCGGGGGAUUGAUGGAAAGGGCCACUGCUGAUUCUGAGGCCAGAGGAGCUGGGAUUUCUGCAUUACCUAAUGCAGGCUAAGGUACCUCUGAGUGAGUUUGAAUUCUCCUGGAGUAAAAUCUCAGACAUCCAAUCUCAGCUGGAGAAACUAAUAGAAAAGAAUCACUAUCUGCACAAGUCGGCCCAGGAAGCCUACAAAGCCUAUAUCUGAUCCUACAACUCCCACUCGCACAAGCAGAUAUUCCACGUGAACACACUGGACCUGUUCAAGGUCUGCCUGUCCUUCGUCUUCCUGAUCCCACCAUAUGCUGACCUCAAUGUGAGCAGCAGCGGAGGAAGGAGGAUCCAGAAACGAGGUGGUGGGGGCGGCUUUGGCUACCAGAACUCCAAACGUCUUCAGAAAGCCAAGAUCUUCAAACACAUUAACAAGGGCGGUCGGAGCCAGGGGCGUCAGUUCACCUGCUGAUUAUCUCCGAAGAUUUUAUGAUACGAACCCUCCACCUGAUGAUUCUCCUUUUACAGUAAAGUUGUAUUUUUUCAGGGAACUGUUAUUGGCAUUUGUUAGACGUCCCUUGUAAACUGGGCCGAAACCAAACUAAUGAUUGUAUCGGGCUCUGAGCACCCGUUGCCGUUCUGAUUGUGUUUCAGAGUAGUUUAUUCUCCUUCCCACACCUAAAGUCCUCCAUAUCUAGUGGAGUUAGGUCAUCAGUUUUGGUUGGUAAAUGUAAGGUAAUUCAGGACCAAUCCCUUAUUACAUUUAGCUCAGCGACAUCUACAGCCGUUGAUACCCAUUCAUAGGAAAUGGUGGACAACGUGCUUAUUUUGUGAUCAAAUUCUCAGAUCUAGGCCGUGUUCACUGGAUGAAUGAGAAAAUCACCAUGACUAGGGAUGUCAAGAACAGAACCACUUGUUCCCUAAGUACUGAAGACCUGCAGAUGGGGAAGACCUCAGAUAACUGAUGGAUGGGUGAUAACUCAGUGCAGGGUUAUACGCUGACCCCUGUAGAUGGGACCCUUGAACCAAAUAUAUGGGGAGUUGAAUCCGGGUGCCCGGCGUCA